rnacentral:rRNA from 1 species
CAACUCUCAGCAACGGAUAUCUUGGCUCUUGCAACGAUGAAGAACGCAGCGAAAUGCGAUACGUAGUGUGAAUUGCAGAAUUCCGCGAAUCAUUGAGUCUUUGAACGCAAGUUGCGCCCGAGGCUUGACCGAGGGCAUCCCUGCCAGAGCGUCACCG